UACCAGCACCCCGAGUGGUCGGGACGAUUAUUGGGCCUAAGCAUCCGUAGCCGGUCCUGCAAGUCUUCCGUUAAUCCAGCUGCUCAACAGAUGGGCUGCGGGGGAUACUACAGGGGCUAGGAGGCGGGGAGAGGCAAAAGCGGUACUUUUAUGGGGUAGGGGUAAAAUCCGUUUUGAUCCAUAGAAAGACCACCAGUGGCGAAAGGCGGCUUUGCCCAGAAACGCGCUCGACGGGUGAGGGAUGAAAGCUGGGAGCAAACCCGGGAUUUAGAAACCCUUUGGGUAGUCCAAGACCAAAGUCUCUGCACCCGUAA
rnacentral:rRNA from 1 species